AGUGAACGCUGGCGGUAGGCCUAACACAUGCAAGUCGAACGGCAGCACAGUAAGAGCUUGCUCUUACGGGUGGCGAGUGGCGGACGGGUGAGGAAUACAUCGGAAUCUACUUUUUCGUGGGGGAUAACGUGGGAAACUUACGCUAAUACCGCAUACGACCUACGGGUGAAAGCAGGGGAUCUUCGGACCUUGCGCGAUUGAAUGAGCCGAUGUCGGAUUAGCUAGUUGGCGGGGUAAAGGCCCACCAAGGCGACGAUCCGUAGCUGGUCUGAGAGGAUGAUCAGCCACACUGGAACUGAGACACGGUCCAGACUCCACGGGAGGCAGCAGUGGGGAAUAUUGGACAAUGGGCGCAAGCCUGAUCCAGCCAUACCGCGUGGGUGAAGAAGGCCUUCGGGUUGUAAAGCCCUUUUGUUGGGAAAGAAAAGCAGCAGGUUAAUACCCCGCUGUUCUGACGGUACCCAAAGAAUAAGCACCGGCUAACUUCGUG
rnacentral:rRNA from 1 species